GCAAGCAGCUGGAGAGACCAAGUUAAAACGUGGAAAAUCUGCCUUGUUUUUUUCACAGGAGCCGAUCUAAGCAUACACUUUUCUUAAUCGGACGGCUUGAAUUGCUAUGGUCGGAAAUUUAAUUUGCCGCACCUUUUCCUUCUUCAGACAGCCGCGAAGAAAAUCUGCAUGCAUGUAAACAAGGGAGUCAAAAAAAAAACAAGGGAGUUGUGAAGGACGAACAGAACACGGAGGGCAGCGUCAGCAAAAAGCGUCGUGAAGCAGGGGCAGUUGCGUUCCUGUCACCCAUUGAACUAUUCAAUUAUCCUGUUGCGUCAUCGAUGGCACCAGCUAAACGUGAUAAGCUUAAUUAAUUGGUUAAAGAAAGGUCAGCAUGAUAAAGUUUGCAAAAAAAAAUUAAGGAAAAAAAUUAUACAAAUUCAUGUCACUUAUUUUGGGACGGAAGGAGUACUACCCAACACAACUGAUAUUUACGAUCUCUCGGGAUAAAACAAGAUGAUAUUUUGCCUAAAAAAACAAGAUGACAUUUGUUGGAAAUUAUAUACAAUAUUUCGUCUGUGAAUUUUCGCCGAGUAUCCACGUGGUGUGCAUCCAGUUCGCAAAAAAAAUUCAUCUUAAUUUUUGUCAAGCCAUGCAAUAGUUCUUCUUAAUUCUGUCACUUAAAUCAUUUAUCUAUAAAUCCUGGUUAAUUCCGGUUGUAACUACAGCCAUUACUAGAGGGUAAUAUUGUUGAGUUAUUGGUCAAGCGGUCACUUAUAGUUACUCCCUCUUUUUCACAAGUGUUGGCAUAUUUUAUUUCGUUAAGACAAGACUUUGACCAAUAAUUCACAACGUGAAAACUCUGCGAACAUUCACGAACACACCAUGUGUGAGUAGUGCAAGUCCCUUUGUGUCCCUAAUUCGUUUUUUUAGAAGGUGUCCC
rnacentral:lncRNA from 1 species